GUAGGGAAUCUUCCACAAUGGGCGAAAGCCUGAUGGAGCAACGCCGCGUGUGUGAUGAAGGGUUUCGGCUUGUAAAACACUGUUGUAAGAGAAGAAUGACAUUGAGAGUAACUGUUCAAUGUGUGACGGUAUCUUACCAGAAAGGAACGGCUAAAUACGUGCCAG
rnacentral:rRNA from 1 species